rnacentral:rRNA from 1 species
GUGCCAGCAGCCGCGGUAAUACGUAGGGGGCUAGCGUUAUCCCGGAAUUACUGGGCGUAAAGGGUGCGUAGGUGGUUUUUUNAAGUCAGAAGUGAAAGGCUACGGCUCAACCGUAGUAAGCUUUUGAAACCUAGAGAACUUGAGUGCAGGAGAGGAGAGUAGAAUUCCUAGUGUAGCGGUGAAAUGCGUAGAUAUUAGGAGGAAUACCAGUAGCGAAGGCGGCUCUCUGGACUGUAACUGACACUGAGGCACGAAAGCGUGGGGAGCAAACAGGAUUAGAUACCCUGGUAGUCC